AAUAAUCAGACGUGCGAUGGUGGUGGGUCUGCAGUGUUCUGCAUCUGGCACCUUUUGUACGUUAUACCGGGUGUGGGUGGGGGAACAGAGUAGGUCAGAGGUGGCAGCAAGAUGGGCGUGAACGACAUGAGUGUGGCCAAAACCCACCAUUGUCUUCUCCUCGUUGAUUGCCUGAGAAUGUGUCCUAGCGUCCCUCUUGGUGAAGGCUUUUUUCUUUUGUGCAACGGGUGAAAGUGAAAAGGAUGACAAUGGCAGUAGCUUCUGUUCUUGCAGAGAAGAGGAGGCCGAUAGCUCUGUGCGUGUGGGGAGAAUGGGAGGAAAAAAGAUGAGAA